AGAGUUUGAUCAUGGCUCAGGAUGAACGCUAGCGGCAGGCCUAACACAUGCAAGUCGAGGGGCAGCAGACCACUUCGGUGGUGCUGGCGACCGGCGCACGGGUGAGUAUCGCGUUUGUAACCUACCCUUAACCGGGGGAUAGACCGGAGAAAUUCGGAUUAAUACCCCAUAAUAUUUAAGCACGGCAUCGUGCUUUCAUUAAAGUUCCGGCGGUUAAGGAUGGGCAUGCGUGGCAUUAGUUUGUUGGUGAGGUAAUGGCUCACCAAGACUACGAUGUCUAGGGGGUCUGAGAGGAUGAUCCCCCACACUGGUACUGAGACACGGACCAGACUCCUACGGGAGGCAGCAGUGAGGAAUAUUGGUCAAUGGACGCAAGUCUGAACCAGCCAUGCCGCGUGCAGGAUGACGGCCCUAUGGGUUGUAAACUGCUUUUAUACAGGAAGAAAUCCUUUUACGUGUAAAAGGUUGACGGUACUGUAUGAAUAAGCAUCGGCUAACUCCGUGCCAGCAGCCGCGGUAAUACGGAGGAUGCAAGCGUUAUCCGGAUUCAUUGGGUUUAAAGGGUGCGUAGGCGGGGCAAUAAGUCAGCGGUGAAAUCCUGCGGCUCAACCGUAGAACUGCCAUUGAUACUGUUGCCCUUGAGUAUAGUUGAAGUGGGCGGAAUAUGUAAUGUAGCGGUGAAAUGCAUAGAUAUUACAUAGAACACCAAUUGCGAAGGCAGCUCACUAAGCUACCACUGACGCUGAGGCACGAAAGCGUGGGGAGCGAACAGGAUUAGAUACCCUAGUAGUCC
rnacentral:rRNA from 1 species